rnacentral:misc_RNA from 1 species
AGUCAAUACUACUUCAAACUUCAAAAACAUUUAGCAUCACUCAUCUGAAGAACAGGAACCCUAUAAUAGCAGAAUUUAACUCAAACACUGGACUAAUCACAGAAUAAAUAUAUCCAUCUGAAGGAAUUAACUACAUAUCAUUGUGACAACAGAUGAACCUGGGAAAUACUUAAAUUCCUAUAAGGAGAAUAUUAAAAUGACAAGAUUUUAAACAGUUCCUAUGCAGAGGAGGCUUCUUACCUAAAUACAAGUUA